rnacentral:piRNA from 1 species
UGAUUGAUGGGCUGAUGCCAAGUGUU